UUUUGCAGCAGACCAUAAUCUUUCUUUCUUAUUCUUCUUCUUCUCUAUUUCUAUAUAUAUAUAUAUAUCUCACCACUUGUUGCAACUCACGUUCUCUCUCUCAGAAGCAUCACCACCAGACUUCAAUAUUUAUUCAUUUCCUUUCUUUUCAUUUCUUUUGCUGCAGCUCACCAAUUCUUUCCACUUAUUCUUCCUCUCUUUUCUUUCCUCUGGGCAGCAUAAAAAAACGCACAUCAUGGUCCCUUUUCCUCCCUCACGUGAUUCCUCUCUUGUGCAGCACCAUCAUCUUCAUCUUCCAAUUUUAUGGGUACGAAGGACGAAAGCGCCUUGCGACGAAGCUAAAGAAUAGAAGGAAGCGAGCCGACGCGGAAAACAAAGAUGUGAUAGGAUUGGAGUUGCAGUUUAGGAAGAAAAUUGGCUAAGGUAAGGGUAACUCGGUUUUAGAGCGUCUUUGAGUCUUGCAUGCUUUUAUCGCACUGCCUGCGUUUGAGAUGAAGAUGUUUAUAUUGAUUGGCAGAUGAUUAUGAUUAUUAUGCUGAAUUUGGAAAAUGUUUUCUGAAGGCUUCGGCCGAGUGAACUUAUUGAGACGCGUGUCUCCGUUUUCUUAGAGGCUUCGGCCGUUUACUGGUUUCUGUCGUUACUGCUUCCUAGUGGGUGGAACAUGUGGUUACUUUGGAUUGGUCCUUGGUUGGGCUUUGUUGUUGUCUGACUUGGCAUAUAGGGCUUGAGUCAAGUGGCGAUGAGGAGGUGUGUCCUAUCAUUGUCCCAUCUUGCGAGAUGCUAAGUGGCGAUCAGGAGGUGUGUCCUAUCAUUGUCCCAUCUUGCGAGAUGCUAAGUGGCGAUCAGGAGGUGUGUCCUAUGAUUGUCCCGUCUUGUGUGACGUUAAGUGGCGAUUAGGAGGUGUGUCCUAUGAUUGUCCCGUCAUGUAUGACGUUAUAAGUGGCGAUGAGGAGGUGUGUCCUAUCAUUGUCCCGUCUUGAGAGACGAUAUUGAUCGAUCCAUUUUGUUAGCGGCAUAUAGUUGCAUUAUAGGGAACUAACACCUGACCCUAUGUUGUUGGAUUUUCGUAUUGGGUUAUUGAUAUAUGAUUUGAUGUUACAUUGUUGAGGUUAUUAUUAUCUGAGUUCGAUAUAUGUUUAAGUUGUUGAUAUAUGAGUUGAGUUAUGUUGCUAGUUAUUUACCAUGCCAGGUAAUUAAAUUCGAACAGCAUGAUUUUCUCUUUUAUACAUGGUAAUUGCAUGGAGUUAACCCUUUCUAUUUGCUACUUGUUGUUUGGGCGCUUAACGCUAUUAGGCGAUGGAGGACUGUCGAUGAAACUUGACCUUUGCACGAGUCGGAGCUGAAGACUUGAAGAUUAGUGGAAGACAUGAAGUGUAGAGUCGGGUUUAAGGUUAGAGCCUUGGGUUAGAGAGCUUACCGUUAUUGGUUUAAGCUUGCCUAAUAAUUUUUAGGAAUUUGCAUUUGAGAUUCGGGUAGGUUCCGAUGCAUUGCUUUCUUGCGGUUCCCUGGUGUGGAGAUCGUAGGGAGUAGGUCGGAUUAGGGUGUCGUGGCAUAACAAAUUCCUUGUUGGAUAUGAUUUCAUUCGUUAGAUUUGUAGUUGUGUUCUUCCGUUCAUACAUUCGGGAACUUGCCUUGGUAAAGGCUUGAUGUAGAUUUUAUUUACUGUUGGGUGUGGGCAUUACAUGUUUUGAAAACAAUUCAAAAGAAAAAAAAAAUUACUCGCUUUAUAAAUUCAUUUGGAAAAUAUUGCAUAUUUACUUUAAUUGGUUACUAAAGUGACACCCGAAAUUCGGGGCGUUACAUUGUGGUAUCAGAGCUUUUGUUGAGAAACCAGAGCUUGUUGGGGAAUAGGUCUUCUGUGCUAGGUUGUUUGAACUUUGUAAUUGAUCGGCUGGGUGUUGAUCGAUUGACAGAGUGUUACCAUAUAGAUUAUAUGAUUAAUUGUUUAUUUUGUCUACUAGUUGUUUCUUGUUGUUGUUGUUUUCUUGAACACUAACCCCUUAACUUCUGACUAGAUGGUUAGUACCCCCACCGAAAUAUUAACUGUACUUGUUAUUUGCCUGCUUUGUUAUACGUUAUUCCAGGUAGAAACUACAUGUUGUUGAACGGGGAAAGGAGUAUGCAUUAGGCACAUUCCUUUGACCGUUGUUUGUGUUCUGAUUAGGACAGUUGUAUAGGGUUUAGAGAAGUGCUAAACCUAGAAGUUGUUUUGUACGAAUAUGUUAGUAAGGAAGAUGGAAGCUUAGAAUGAAUCCUAAGGGAGUGUUGUUUGAGUUCCAGGAACUAAGGUUGUACUUCUGCUAGAUGAAGUUGUUGGAGAUGGAGUAGAUUAAGAGAUGAUCUUAAUUUAGAUGUGACCACUUGAUGAGAUAGACUCAUUGGCCUUACUAGUGAGUUUUUCUGAAUUUUCAUCCGCAAGAUAUUGAGCCUGAUCAACUUAAUAUUGAGGGGGUGAUAUUUGGAAUCACAGCUGGCGUGGACUAUGAUAGGAGGAUUGAUUGGAUUGGAUCGAUGAUUAGUCGAGUUGAUAUAUGGGUUUAUGUUAAAUGUUUGAUUCUCCUUGCGGAUAAGUUGUAGUUUUAAGAAAUAGUCUUCCACUUGAGGAGUGUGAGAGAGCGAAAGGAUAAUAGAGGUCCAAACUUAUUAAAGGUGUAGACUUUAAGUCUGAGAAUUCUUGUCCUAAGUGGGUAAAACCUAGAGGCUGUCAGACUUUGGGUAGGAAACUAAGGAUUUGAUUGACAUAGGAGUGACAAGGUUAAGGACGGAAAGUUCUAGCAUUGAGUUGCAGACUGGAGGUUGUUAUCUGUGGGAGAGUCACCAAGAACCUAAGCGUAAACGAGACCUUGAGGAUAGCUUAGAAAAUGUUAUUUGAGGGAAUGACACUCCCGAGUUCCUCUGACACCAAGUUUCGAGGACGAAACUUUCUUUUUGGGGGGUAGUAUUGUAAGACCCAGGAUUUUAGAAUUAAAAUAAAUUAAUUAAUUUCCACCUCACGCAUAAGAUUCUGUUUAAGCGUGAGUGGAACUCGACUUAUGUUUGAUGUUUGGAUUAGCGUUAUGAAGAAGAAAGUUCAGGAAAUGGUUAAGAAUAGUUAUAUAGUCGCUAUAGGUUAUAGCACGAGCUUUAUUCACUUCCGCCUUAGGGCAAAAACAUUAGAAAAUGGCUAAUCUGCUCUUAAAGCACUGUAGAAACGAUAUUCAAAAAUAUUCAGAGGAAUAUAAGAAUUUCUCUUAUUCCUUUCCUUGACAAGCAUUUCGAUACGAAAACCUGGAAUGUACGAACGUCCGAUUCUAGUUCUCGGAGGUUUGCCGAAACUGAAUCCCUGAUAGCUCAAGAACCUUUAAAUAAACGGUCGAUGGAGACUUUUUCCAUUCGAAGCUUCAAACGAAGAUUCCAUCCGCGUUUCCUGAUGUCUUUCGACGUUUCCAACCUUUCUUCAGAAGGAAGUUUCUUCAUCCGACGUCAAACGCAAAAAGUAGUUUUGCGGCAUAUUUCAACCCAUACUACGUUCAAGCUAUUUUCUCACUUAAAUGAACCAGGAACAAGUAUCGACAUUUUAUAGAGAGAUACUUAACUCUGAUGCAUAAUAUGACAACUUCAUAUUUGUUCUGAUCGUCUCACAAAUAUUCUUUAGCUCAGUUUUUACUCAUUUCUUUGUCCAUGGAUCAUUUUAAUUUGCUCAAAGUGAUCCAAACUUAUAUUUCAUUAUUUCAUAGAGUCUCUCAUAAUUUUUGGUAUAGUAAUAUAUCAACUCUAUAUUUUUCUCUUAACUUUGUGAGCUAAAUUCUUCAGUGUCUAAAUCAAUUCGUACCGGUUUUAUAAAUAUCUUCCCUAAAUAUCUAAUAAUCCAUCCUCAUCCUCUGUGACUCACGUUCACUCCCUCCUUUUCUUUCAUUGUCACGUUUCUUUCUUUCUCUUGCAGCAGACCAUAAUCUUUCUUUCUUAUUCUUCUUCUUCUCUAUUUCUAUAUAUAUAUAUAUAUAUAUAUAUCUCACCACUUGUUGCAACUCACGUUCUCUCUCUCAGAAGCAUCACCACCAGACUUCAAUAUUUAUUCAUUUCCUUUCUUUUCAUUUCUUUUGCUGCAGCUCACCAAUUCUUUCCACUUAUUCUUCCUCUCUUUUCUUUCCUCUGGGCAGCAUAAAAAAACGCACAUCAUGGUCCCUUUUCCUCCCUCACGUGAUUCCUCUCUUGUGCAGCACCAUCAUCUUCAUCUUCCAAUUUUAUGGUAAAACUUCUUCUCUUUUCUUUGAUCAUCUUUUUAGUCAAUUAAAUUUACCCUUUUAGUUUCCACACCUAGUAUCUUCAUUAAAGUUAUGACUAUGGAAAGGAUCUAGUGAACCAUGGUUUUUAUUUCCAAAAAGGUUGAGUUCUUGUCUUUGUAAAAUUUUCAAUUAAAGCUUUUUCCAAAGUGCUUUUACAAAUGUUAUUCCCCAUCACCGGAUCUAUGGAUUUCACCGAUUAGUUUUCUAAAAAGUUGUUUUUUUGAGUUAAGUGAUUUUGAGAUUUUAAUGAUUUUAAUUUAAGCCUUGAUUAUUUAUUUUUUAAAUGUAAAAGAAAUGGCUUUGGAAGUGAGUUUAGGAAAAAGGAAAAUUAAUACAUGGUUAUGUAGAUGUGGCCGAGCCUAUGGCAUGUGUUUUGGGUUUGGAAAAUCAAUUCUGAAACUUGUUUUUGUUUAGUGAAAAUCACAAGUUAAGUUUAUGGACUAAAAGUUUAUUGUGGGAAAACUUUAGGAUUAAAGCACAAGAGGCUGAGAAGUUUUGGGUUAAACCGGAGUUUUAAAAGUCUUGGGGUUUGUUUGAUAAAUUUAUAAAAGAUUGAGGGUUGAAAAAGAACUUACUUUUAUGUGAGGACCUUUUCGUGAUUAUGUGCUUAUCAAGGGACUAGGGUUGAAUUAUUUAAAAGUUGAGGAGUUGUUUGCGAAAUAUGUUUUUUUAAGGACCUUUCUUUAAAACUCACAAAUAUUUUAUCUUUGGACUUUAGUCCUUGAAACAUAAAGUUUGUGCAUUUAGCCUAAGUGAGCUAGAAAGAUUGGCUAAGUUUGUUCUGAAACUUUAGAUGUGACUUUAGAGGCUAAGGUUUAGUAUGUGAACUUGUGAAGGGUACGAAGGACGAAAGCGCCUUGCGACGAAGUUAAAGAAUAGAAGGAAGCGAGCCGACGCGGAAAACAAAGAUGUGAUAGGAUUGGAGUUGCAGUUUAGGAAGAAAAUUGGCUAAGGCGAUGGAGGAUUGUCGAUGAAACUUGACCUUUGCACGAGUCGGAGCUGAAGACUUGAAGAUUAGUGGAAGACAUGAAGUGUAGAGUCGGGUUUAAGGUUAGAGCCUUGGGUUAGAGAGCUUACCGUUAUUGGUUUAAGCUUGCCUAAUAAUUUUUAGGAAUUUGCAUUUGAGAUUCGGGUAGGUUCCGAUGCAUUGCUUUCUUGCGGUUCCCUGGUGUGGAGAUCGUAGGGAGUAGGUCGGAUUAGGGUGUCGUGGCAUAACAAAUUCCUUGUUGGAUAUGAUUUCAUUUGUUAGAUUUGUAGUUGUGUUCUUCCGUUCAUACAUUCGGAAACUUGCCUUGGUAAAGGCUUGAUGUAGAUUUUAUUUACUGUUGGGUGUAGGCAUUACAUGUUUUGAAAACAAUUCAAAGGGAAAAAAAAAUUUACUCGCUUUAUAAAUUCAUUUGGAAAAUAUUGCAUAUUUACUUUAAUUGGUUACUAAAGUGACACCCGAAAUUCGGGGCGUUACAGUGCCGGAUGUUCAGGAACAUGUCUUCCUCGAAGGCUUUCCUUUUGAGCUCUUCCAGUGCAACCAUGUAUGAAGCCAUUUCUCUUUAUGGUGUUGAUCGAGUUGUGAAGCUUACCCUCUUCUUAAUCGCUCUAUAUAGGCUUCACUUUCUCUCUGCAAGUUAAUGCUCCUACAGUUUCUCGAGGUUAAGUCCUUAGUAACUGUAACUACUCUUUACUCCCGUGGCCGGUGGUAAACGUUUCUCUCUUGCAUUAACUCUCCUCUUUAAUUCGCCUUACUCUUAUUCAUGCAUCAUUUUUUCUCCAUUUUUUUUUAAACUUAGACCUUCUCUAAGGGGGAGUACCUUGUACUUCAAACUAAGUUUUUCACACCCCAAGCUUUUUGCUUAUGACAAAAAGGGGGAGUACAACCCAGUUUUUGAUGUGUAAGCUGUGUUAGUGUGAUUUAUUUUUCUUUUGGAGAAUUUAAGAGUUCCACCUUUAUGACCAUAGAUGUGUCACUGGGCAAAUACAAGGAAUACAUUUCACUUCUUCUGAAGUGAUUCUAUUUGACUCUGAUACCACUUAUCGUUGACUCUGAAUUCUUAUGCGCUCUUAUUAUUUUAAUUCAUCUAUGUCAUGCGCCUUCACUCUGAACUCUUACAAUAUUUAGCUCAGAAUCUAGACAUUUCUAACGUUUUCAUUAAGUCUUAGAUUCAGGGGGAGCUAUGCUCAGAAUCAAGCUGUGACUUGGAUUCAGAAUGAGCAAAAUAAACCAUUCACAUCAGGAUAAGUCUUAUUCUAUAUCUCUAAACUCUGAGUGAAUUCAGUUUAUUGUUUAAGAAUUGUUCAUCAAAAAUCUUAGUUUUGUCAUCAUCAAAAAGGGGGAGAUUGUAAGAUCAAGUUUUGAUCUAGUAGUACAACUCUAUGUUUUGAUGAUUACAAGUUAACCUUUUGAUAUGAACAAUUAUGGUACUCUAACGUGUUUUUUUCUGAGUGUGCUAUUUACAGGCUCUGACCUCUAUUCAAUCUCACACAAAUCAGAAGCACUAUGCCUAAAGAGUGACCCAAGCAACGCUUUCGCAUUCUCCAUGUUCAGUCUGAACAGUGGAAAAGCUUCAGAAGAUCUGAAGUAAAUUAAGCUCUGAUAAGGACUCAGCUCACUUGAAGCUCUGAUGAUCCAGACGUUUUGACAACCCAGAGACUCUGAAGGUUCAGAAGUUCUGAUGGUGUAGAAGACUCUGAAGAUCCAGAAGCUGAAGAGUGAAGACUCUGAAGUCCAGAAGCAACUGGCUCUGAAGACCAUGUACUGAUCCUCUGAAGUGAAGAUCAGAAGGUACAACGGUCAGAGGAUCCAAGCUUCCUUCUGACUCUGAUCAAUCUGCUUCACAAGUUUUAUUUGACAUCAAGGGCAUUUUGGAGAAUUGCGGAAUGAAGAUUUGAUUGUGCUGGAGUGAAGAUUGUAUUUUAGGAAAUAUUAGGAUUUAAUUUCGGAAUAAAUUAAGUUUGAUAUCUUUCAGAUUCAAACUUAUUUAGGUUGUUAUUUUAAAACUCUAUCUUUAGGAUUUGUUAGGAUUUAUUGUUAUCUUUUAGGAUUUGAUUUUGUUUAGGAUUUGUGAUCUCAGCUCCUAUUUAAGGAUUUGUGCUGAGAGAAACAAUUACCUUUUACCUUCUACAUUAUUAUUUUAUGCAAUUUUCGAAUUUCAGUUA